rnacentral:rRNA from 1 species
GUCGAACGGGAUCCCUGGCAGCUUGCUGUCGGGGUGAGAGUGGCGAACGGGUGAGUAAUGCGUGACCAACCUGCCCUGUGCACCGGAAUAGCUCCUGGAAACGGGUGGUAAUACCGGAUGCUCCGCUCCAUCGCAUGGUGGGGUGGGAAAUGCUUUUGCGGCAUGGGAUGGGGUCGCGUCCUAUCAGCUUGUUGGCGGGGUGAUGGCCCACCAAGGCGUUGACGGGUAGCCGGCCUGAGAGGGUGACCGGCCACAUUGGGACUGAGAUACGGCCCAGACUCCUACGGGAGGCAGCAGUGGGGAAUAUUGCACAAUGGGCGCAAGCCUGAUGCAGCGACGCCGCGUGCGGGAUGGAGGCCUUCGGGUUGUAAACCGCUUUUGUUCAAGGGCAAGGCACGGUUUCGGCCGUGUUGAGUGGAUUGUUCGAAUAAGCACCGGCUAACUACGUGCCAGCAGCCGCGGUAAUACGUAGGGUGCGAGCGUUAUCCGGAUUUAUUGGGCGUAAAGGGCUCGUAGGCGGUUCGUCGCGUCCGGUGUGAAAGUCCAUCGCCUAACGGUGGAUCUGCGCCGGGUACGGGCGGGCUGGAGUGCGGUAGGGGAGACUGGAAUUCCCGGUGUAACGGUGGAAUGUGUAGAUAUCGGGAAGAACACCAAUGGCGAAGGCAGGUCUCUGGGCCGUCACUGACGCU